CCUACGGGGGGCAGCAGUGAGGAAUAUUGGUCAAUGGCCGGAAGCCUGAACCAGCCAAGCCGCGUGAAGGACGAAGGUGCUAAGCAUUGUAAACUUCUUUUGUCAAGGGACAAAAUCAGGCUCGAGAGCCUGACCGAGGGUACUUGAAGAAAAAGCAUCGGCUAACUCCGUGCCAGCAGCCGCGGUAAUACGGAGGAUGCGAGCGUUAUCCGGAUUUAUGGGGUUUAAAGGGUGCGUAGGCGGGCUGUUAAGUCAGCGGUAAAAGCCCGGGGCUCAACCCCGGCGAGCCGUUGAAACUGGCUGUCUUGAGAUGUCGAGAGGUAUGCGGAAUGCGCAGUGUAGCGGUGAAAUGCUUAGAUAUUGCGAAGAACUCCGAUUGCGAAGGCAGCAUACCGGCGGCGAUCUGACGUUGAGGCACGAAAGCGUGGGUAUCGAACAGGAUUAGAUACCCUUGUAGUC
rnacentral:rRNA from 1 species